CAGCGGCGCGGAUUGGCCUUCCGCCGCCUGGCGGGCGGCGAUGGCCUCGGCCAGGCCGACGAAGGUGCCGCCGCCGUCGCAGAUGUC
rnacentral:tRNA from 1 species